CCUACGGGUGGCAGCAGUGAGGAAUAUUGGUCAAUGGACGAGAGUCUGAACCAGCCAAGUAGCGUGAAGGAUGACUGCCCUCUGGGUUGUAAACUUCUUUUAUAAAGGAAUAAAACGAGGCACGUGUGCCUUUUUGCAUGUACUUUAUGAAUAAGGAUCGGCUAACUCCGUGCCAGCAGCCGCGGUAAUACGGAGGAUCCGAGCGUUAUCCGGAUUUAUUGGGUUUAAAGGGAGCGUAGAUGGGUUGUUAAGUCAGUUGUGAAAGUUUGCGGCUCAACCGUAAAAUUGCAAUUGAUACUGGCAGUCUUGAGUACAGUUGGGGUAGGCGGAAUUCGUGGUGUAGCGGUGAAAUGCGUAGAUAUCACGAAGAACCCCGAUUGCGAAGGCAGCAUACCGGCGCCCUACUGACGCUGAGGCACGAAAGUGCGGGUAGCGAACAGGAUUAGAUACCCCAGUAGUC
rnacentral:rRNA from 1 species